GACGAACGCUGGCGGCGUGCCUAAUACAUGCAAGUAGAACGCUGAAACUUGGUGCUUGCACCGAGCGGAUGAGUUGCGAACGGGUGAGUAACGCGUAGGUAACCUGCCUGGUAGCGGGGGAUAACUAUUGGAAACGAUAGCUAAUACCGCAUAAGAGUAGAUGUUGCAUGACAUUUGCUUAAAAGGUGCAAUUGCACCACUACCAGAUGGACCUGCGUUGUAUUAGCUAGUUGGUGGGGUAACGGCUCACCAAGGCGACGAUACAUAGCCGACCUGAGAGGGUGAUCGGCCACACUGGGACUGAGACACGGCCCAGACUCCUACGGGAGGCAGCAGUAGGGAAUCUUCGGCAAUGGACGGAAGUCUGACCGAGCAACGCCGCGUGAGUGAAGAAGGGUGUCGGAUCGUAAAGCUCUGUUGUAAGAGAAGAACGAGUGUGAGAGUGGAAAGUUCACACUGUGACGGUAUCUUACCAGAAAGGGACGGCUAACUACGUG
rnacentral:rRNA from 1 species